AGCUGGGAGAGGCUACUGCACUAAUUUCAGAGAGCAGGAAACAAGCAUCAGCUCUAGCAGCCAGUGUCAGCCUGUGCUUCCUGCAGGGAAUCACUUCCACGCAUCUCUGGAGACACCUCGGCCUAGGGCGCCCAUGCAGCUCCGUAGUGGCUUUGCUCUGGCCAGGCUGAGUGCCGUGCAUGGUGCAGCAGUACCACGGAGCAGCCGCCACCUCCACUCCCCCUUGCCAGCUGCCCCAUGCUGCCUGCACUUCGGAACUCACUCAUCCUGAGUGCAUUGUCCUGCUAAAAACUUUGACACAGAACAGCAAAAGCACACGGAGAAAACGAAUCACUCUGACCCUGCCGGUGUGAGGU
rnacentral:lncRNA from 1 species